ACCAUGUGUAUUUCACUAGUUGUGUGAUGCUUGUAGUUGUUAAACUUUACAAUGGAUGUACACAAUUGAAAAUGGAAAUGAAGAUAAAAAACUACUGUUUAACAGAGUUGGGAGAUUUGAAUUGAUUUACUUCAUGCCUUAGCUGGACUCCACAUUUUUCUAUCAUUCUCCAUCCUUUCAACUUUAACGUUGUUGCUGUUGAUUGUUGAGAGAUUCUUAUGCAGCAUAAAAAUAAAGAUCUAUGAAGAUAUACUAGUUUAGGAUAAGGAUUAAUAGUUUGUUGCAAAUAGAAAUUAUUUGUCUGCUGUGCAUGUUCAAUUUGAAUGUUCCUUAUUGCUACUGACUGUGGACUUCCAUCAGAUUUCAGAUGGAAUGACUAUACAAAUUCAAACAGUUAAUUUAUUAGUUGAAAUCAAUAUUUAUAUCUUCUUUGCUGGGUUUGGUCAUUAGUGCAGUAUUUGGUCUGCAUUCAUUGCAAUAGAGUUUAAUGAUAGUGCAUGUUUUUAUGUGGUGGCUUUACAGAUAAACCUGAUGGACUGUUCGUCCUCUUUGACCAAAAAAUUAUGUUAUAAAUUUAUCAGAAACUUAUCCAUAAGUAUCCCUAUAUCUCUGGCGGUAGGGCACCGCCUAUGGCAUCGGUCACCAUUCACAAUUUGUUGCUGUAUACCACAAAUGAAAGCUGGGAGGUAAUUAUGUUUUUGCUCGUGCUUACAAUUAAUUUGGGACCCUUGGUAUAAAUAUUAUUGAAGAUUUUUUCCGUCUGCAUUAUCAGGUUGUAAAUCUUAGGGAGGCAAACAAGUAAUAGGAAGUAUAUAUAUGUAUUCAAAUGACUACAUUACGCCUUUCAUUUUACAUCUUAUGUGUCUGUGACCGAUAUUGGGAUAAUUACCUUCUAAAUAUUGAUAUUGUAUUUCAUCUCUAUCCAUUCAUUGGUAUUUCUCACUCCCCACCUCUUUCUCUUCAGAAACUGGAGUGAGAAUCUGUCUAUUGAUCUUUUGCCUUAUCCUGACAUGUUGAGGGAUGAACUUUAGGCUGUUCUCAAGAGCGAGCAAACAUGAGAGAUGAUGAUGGUACAAAACGAGUAUUCUUUGGAGGGGAGUGUUUUUUAGAAGGAAUAUCGGGAGAAGCAUAUGUACAAUUCCUCUAAUUAUUGUAAUCUACUUUCUUCUAAAAGGCUAAGAUUCUUGACUCUUGAUAUGUUACUAUGUUUGCUAUUCCUCAUAUCACAAUUCAGAGAACAGUCUGCAACAGUCCACUUGGGCUUGAGUUUCAGUUGCACAUCACAGAAGCUCUUUGUCCUACAUUAAGUGAGCCAGGUAAUUAAAAGGACACUUUCUACAUGUAUCCAUAUUGAAUCGAUACAAGUGACACAGAUGUUGUAUGAAGUUAAUAUAUCAUGUGUGCAGAACUUCGUGCACUUCUCUGCUUUAUGACAGGAUUAUCUAUCUGUCUAAAUAGAGGAGAUGUGAAUUUGAAGGCCUAGGUUUGAAUUGCCUUAACUUUUCCCACCUUUGAGAAAAUCAGUUUUCAAAAGCUCGUUUUUGGACAAAGCUCUUCUAUUAUUCUAGAUUUUUGAGUCGUCUUUGAAUUUGAAUCAUGACAGUGAUCUAAUGAAGCUGCUGGGCACUCUCUUGUCUCAGUUGUUGUGGACCAUAUAUUUAUUUGCAUCAAAGAUUCUGAAUUCCAGCUUGAACUAUUAAUGCAAUCCCUUUUUCUCUCUUGGGUAAUUUCCUUGAUUAUAUUCUUUUUUGUGUCUUUAUUUGUGAAUCAUUCUUCCCUUCCUGAUACCGUUUGCAUCACCUGUUGAUGCCAUAGAAUAUGUAUAGGGAAAGGAGGAUUUAUAACAUGCAUGGAAUGAUGUAAGUGUUUAAAAGUUAAACAAAAAUCAACCGAAAUAUAUAUAUAUAUAUAUAUCAAGAAUCGGAUCAGGUGCUGGUCUAGUAUUAUGAGUAAGAGCUAAAAUCUGCAUGCAAAGUAAAAUUCCUAACCCUAAUUAAAAUAAUAAACAUAGUACAAUUGGCAAAUGACAAAUAACAAAAUCCUUCCUUAAUGACAUUCCAUAUUAUAUUCGGAAGAUUAUCAUGAGAUACAUUAAAUAUGUAGGAUAUAUUGAAUUUUUUCUGAGAUAUUCUGACAUUAUUCUUCACCAUCGAUGCUACAUUACACUUAUAUCUAGCAGGUACAAUAUAAUCAACUAGAAAAAGUUCCUCUAAAAGGAGAAUGUAAGGGUGUAUCCACCGCUGAAUCAUUUUGUGAGUUAUGAUUACAAUACUUUUGUUGAUCUAGAGGUACAUAAACAUAAACCCUUGCCUUCAUAUUUGAAAAGCAAGCUGACUCUAGAAUAAUGGUUAAUACCUAAGGGCAUAUUUGUCUUGCAUGUUCAUGCAAUCUAUACACGAAGUAUUACUCAGUAAAUUUGGAAAAUGUAUUUGAAUUUGGCUUGAUGAGGUUAAAAAAUCUUUAGUUAUUAUCUCAGUAUUCAAAUUCUAGAGAUGAGAAACUUCCUCUACAUGUUUAUCUCAGAUGAUCUUAUUCAGCAUUUGUUGAUUUUAAAUACAUUAAUGAAAAAUGUUUAUCUAGUUCUCUCUGCAUUGGCAAGUUGCCGUGUCUAUUGGUCCUUUGAUGUGCCAUAAUAUUUCUGGCAUCCCUGGGGAACAAUUAAUUGAUUAUAUAUCUUCCUUGUAGGCAAGUCUUUUGGAGGAAGAAAAUGAGAGUAGCUUGACCAGGAUUACCAUUGCAGGUCUAUUUUUAAGGUUUGUGUUAUAUGCUCUGCCUGAAUAACUACUAUUGAAAGGAUUAAGUAAUUAAUUAAUCUUAUUUUGCUCAUGGCCUUUCAUAUUGUUUAUCGAUGUUAAUAGGACUUUAAGUUGAGUGAAAACUAUAUACAAACUAAUCUAAAAGGGCUUAGAUUAAUUUAGGAUGUUUUGGUUUUAGUCCCUCAAAAAAUUUCUUGAAAUGCAAUACUGAUAAGGAUAAUUUUAUUUCGGUGUUGUCUAGUAAUGUGUUGUAAAUUUAUUGAAUAGCCAACAAAGAUACCUUCAUAAGAUUUUAGAUCAAAUUUUUUAAAAUUAUCUUUAGUGUUUAACACAAAAUAUUUGCAUCCAAAAAUAUAAAAGUACUUAAGAUUGGGUGGUACUCCUUUCCAAAGCUCAUAAGGUAUUUUCUUUAAAAUUUUUCUAAUGAUGGUUCAGUUCAACAUGUAACAAGCUGUGUUUAUAGCUUCAACCCAAAGAAAUUUUGAAAUUUCAUUUUCACAAAGCAUAGCCCUAACCAUUUCUUGGAGGCUUCUAUUUCUCUUUUUAACAACUCCAUUUUGUUGAGGUGUUCUAGGAUAUGAAAAAUUAUGAAAAAUACCAAAUUCAUCACAAAAUUAUUCAAAGUCUUGAUUUUCAAACUCUUUUCCAAGAUCACUUCUUAUGGAAACUAUUUUUAAAAUCUUUUUCAUUUUGAAUCUUUUUGCAUAGAGUUGAAAAAGUAAUGAAAGUAUCAUUUUUAUGAGCCAAGGAAAAAACUCAUCCAAAUCUAGUAUAGUCAUCAACCACCACUAAACCAUAGUAUUUACCACCAAAGCUUUGAGUCCUAGUAGGACCAAAAAGAUUAAUAUGUAGCAUUUUCAAUAGUUUUUUGGUUGAGAUAUCAUUCUUGGGUUUAAAAAAAAUUUAGUUUGUCUGCCCGAUUGACAAGUAUCACAAGUGAUGUCUUUGUCAAAUUUUAUUUUUGGAAGAUCUCUAACUAAAUUCUUUUUCACAAGUUUAGAAAUUUGGAACAUGUUAGCAUGUCCUAAUUUCUUAUGUCAUAACCAUUUUUCAUAUUCAAUGGAUGUGAAAUAAACUACAUUUUGUUCUUUUAGUUCCUCCAAGGUUAGUCCAUACACAUUGUUGUAUCUUUUAGCUUCAAACAAGAUAUCAUCAAAUUUUUUACACACAACCAAGCAUUCCAAUUUCUUGAAAAUGACUAAAUAGUCUAAGUCACACAAUUGGCUAAUGCAUAGAAGAUUGUGGCUUAAUCCAUCAAUUAAAAAUACAUCGUUAAUGAAAGUUGAGAAACUCUUACCAACCUUACCUACGGCCACAAUCUUUCCUUUACCAUUGUCACCGAAAGCCACAAAACCUCCAUCGUACUUAUCAAGUUUGAUGAAGUAUGUGGCCUUUCCGGUCAUGUGCCUAGAGCAUCUACUAUCCAAGUACCACAUGUCAUUCUUCUUUUUGGAUGCUAGGCAAAAUUGCACAAAGCUCUUAAGUGACCUUAGGUAUUCAAAUAUUUUUUGAUCUUUUAAUGUUAAACCUUUUUGGUUGUCUAAGUGCAUUGUAUUUACCAGCUAUUUUGUAAACUUUAUUGCCAAUUUUUCUUUCAAAAAUGAAACAUUGAAUAGAAAAGUGACCAUCUCUAUUGCAUAUGUUACAGAAUUUAUUGGUUGCUGGUUUUUUUAAGGUGAUUUGGGUUUUGAAAUCUUUUGUCUUUAGAAGUAGAAGAUUCAUUUUCAAUGUGUGAAAUUUUAAAAACAGAUUCAGAUUUUUCACAAUAACCCAACCCAGUCUUUUCAAAAAUAGGUCUUUGACUAGCUAACAAUUUAUCUAAAUUUUCAAAACUUUGAGCAAAUUUAGCUAAGUCUAGUUUUAGACUCUUAACCUCUUUAUGCAACCUUUCAUUCUCUUCAAAAUAGUUUAAUUGUGCAACAACAGAAUGUUGUCUAUCACAACUACUGAGUUCAGCUUUAAGCCGUUUGUUUUCUUCAACAAGAUCAACAGUGGUCUCAGAUUCCCUCAAUUUUUCUUUGAGAAUGGCAUUUUCUGCUUUUAGGAUGUCAUUUUCAUAUUCAUGUACAUGGCAUUGAUUCAUAAAAUU